rnacentral:rRNA from 1 species
AUUGAACGCUGGCGGCAGGCCUAACACAUGCAAGUCGAACGGUAGCAGGAAGAAGCUUGCUUCUUUGCUGACGAGUGGCGGACGGGUGAGUAAUGUCUGGGAAACUGCCUGAUGGAGGGGGAUAACUACUGGAAACGGUAGCUAAUACCGCAUAACGUCGCAAGACCAAAGAGGGGGACCUUCGGGCCUCUUGCCAUCGGAUGUGCCCAGAUGGGAUUAGCUAGUAGGUGGGGUAACGGCUCACCUAGGCGACGAUCCCUAGCUGGUCUGAGAGGAUGACCAGCCACACUGGAACUGAGACACGGUCCAGACUCCUACGGGAGGCAGCAGUGGGGAAUAUUGCACAAUGGGCGCAAGCCUGAUGCAGCCAUGCCGCGUGUAUGAAGAAGGCCUUCGGGUUGUAAAGUACUUUCAGCGGGGAGGAAGGGAGUAAAGUUAAUACCUUGGCUCAUUGACGUUACCCGCAGAAGAAGCACCGGCUAACUCCGUG